ACAGUGUCUGGUGGGUAGUUUGACUGGGGCGGUCUCCUCCUAAAGAGUAACGGAGGAGCACGAAGGUUGGCUAAUCCUGGUCGGACAUCAGGAGGUUAGUGCAAUGGCAUAAGCCAGCUUGACUGCGAGCGUGACGGCGCGAGCAGGUGCGAAAGCAGGUCAUAGUGAUCCGGUGGUUCUGAAUGGAAGGGCCAUCGCUCAACGGAUAAAAGGUACUCCGGGGAUAACAGGCUGAUACCGCCCAAGAGUUCAUAUCGACGGCGGUGUUUGGCACCUCGAUGUCGGCUCAUCACAUCCUGGGGCUGAAGUAGGUCCCAAGGGUAUGGCUGUUCGCCAUUUAAAGUGGUACGCGAGCUGGGUUUAGAACGUCGUGAGACAGUUCGGUCCCUAUCUGCCGUGGGCGCUGGAGAACUGAGGGGGGCUGCUCCUAGUACGAGAGGACCGGAGUGGACGCAUCA
rnacentral:rRNA from 1 species